GAUGAGAACGUAGCGAAAUGCGAUAAGUAAUGUGAAUUGCAGAAUUCAGUGAAUCAUCGAAUCUUUGAACGCACAUUGCGCCCCCUGGUAUUCCGGGGGGCAUGCCUGUCCGAGCGUCAUUACAACCCUCAAGCUCAGCUUGGUAUUGGGCCCCGCCGCUCCGGCGGGCCCUAAAGUCAGUGGCGGUGCCGUCCGGCUCCGAGCGUAGUAAUUCUUCUCGCUCUGGAGGUCCGGUCGUGUGCUCGCCAGCAACCCCCAAUUUUUUUCAGGUUGACCUCGGAUCAGGUAGGGAUACCCGCUGAACUUAAGCAUAUCAAUAAGCGGAGGA
rnacentral:misc_RNA from 1 species